AAGAAGCCCUCCCUUUUAUAUCAGCUUUGCUGCUAUGUGGGAAUAGUCCUCUUCUGA
rnacentral:tRNA from 1 species